UACGGAGGAUGCAAGCGUUAUCCGGAAUGAUUGGGCGUAAAGCGUCCGCAGGUGGCUGUGUAAGUCUGCUGUUAAAUAGUGAGGCUCAACCUCAUAAAGGCAGUGGAAACUACACGGCUAGAGUGCGUUCGGGGCAGAGGGAAUUCCUGGUGUAGCGGUGAAAUGCGUAGAUAUCUGGAGGAACACCGGUGGCGAAGGCGGCAUCCUGGACCGAUACUGACGCUGAGGAGCGAAAGCCAGGGGAGCAAACGGG
rnacentral:rRNA from 1 species